rnacentral:rRNA from 1 species
AUUGAACGCUGGCGGCAUGCUUUACACAUGCAAGUCGAACGGCAGCGCGGGCUUCGGCCUGGCGGCGAGUGGCGAACGGGUGAGUAAUACAUCGGAACGUGCCCAGUAGUGGGGGAUAGCUCGGCGAAAGCCGGAUUAAUACCGCAUACGACCUGAGGGUGAAAGCGGGGGAUCUUCGGACCUCGCGCUAUUGGAGCGGCCGAUGGCAGAUUAGCUAGUUGGUGGGGUAAAGGCCUACCAAGGCGACGAUCUGUAGCUGGUCUGAGAGGACGACCAGCCACACUGGGACUGAGACACGGCCCAGACUCCUACGGGAGGCAGCAGUGGGGAAUUUUGGACAAUGGGCGAAAGCCUGAUCCGGCAGUGCCGCGUGUGUGAUGAAGGCCUUCGGGUUGUAAAGCACUUUUGGCGGGAACGAAAAGGACUGUGCCAAUACCACGGUUCGAUGACGGUACCCGCAGAAUAAGCACCGGCUAACUACGUG